UACAUAGCUCAGUUGGUAAAGCAUAAGCCACUUAAACUUAGGGUUGUGGGUUUGAGCCCUAAGUUGGGCAAAA